rnacentral:rRNA from 1 species
CGCUUAGGCGUGUGACUGCGUACCUUUUGUAUAAUGGGUCAGCGACUUAUAUUCUGUAGCAAGGUUAACCGAAUAGGGGAGCCGAAGGGAAACCGAGUCUUAACUGGGCGUUAAGUUGCAGGGUAUAGACCCGAAACCCGGUGAUCUAGCCAUGGGCAGGUUGAAGGUUGGGUAACACUAACUGGAGGACCGAACCGACUAAUGUUGAAAAAUUAGCGGAUGACUUGUGGCUGGGGGUGAAAGGCCAAUCAAACCGGGAGAUAGCUGGUUCUCCCCGAAAGCUAUUUAGGUAGCGCCUCGUGAAUUCAUCUCCGGGGGUAGAGCACUGUUUCGGCAAGGGGGUCAUCCCGACUUACCAACCCGAUGCAAACUGCGAAUAC